CACCCCUCUUCACUAUGUCUUCCACACCCACAAGUGCUAGCCCCAAACUCUACUCCGUCGCUUUUGGGUUCACCCCAAUUUCUGGGUUCUUUCUCCAGGGGUUUUGCUAGGGCUUUGGGCGGUGACCAACAUUCUGAUCCUGAGCCUGAUGGUGAUGUUGGUGACAAUGGUGUGGGUGAUUAUGAUGGUGCUUUGGUUAAUUCUGGUGCAGAUACCGAAGAGAAAUCUAGGGGUUUUUCUAGGGUUUCGCAGGGCGAAACAGAUUCUGAUCCUGAAACCGAUGGCGAUGAGAAUGUUGGGGGUGAUUUUGAUGAGGUGAAUGUUAAUUCGGGCGCGGAUCCUGAAGAGGUAAGUAGGGUAUGCAGG
rnacentral:lncRNA from 1 species